UGGGGAAUAUUGCACAAUGGAGGGAACUCUGAUGCAGCGACGCCGCGUGAACGAAGAAAGCUUUCGAGUCGUAAAGUUCUUUUAUAUGGGAAGAUAAUGACGGUACCAUAAGAAGAAGCCCCGGCUAACUACGUGCCAGCAGCCGCGGUAAUACGUAGGGGGCUAGCGUUGUCCGGAAUCACUGGGCGUAAAGGGUUCGCAGGCGGAAAUGCAAGUCAGGUGUAAAAGGCAGUAGCUUAACUACUGUAAGCAUUUGAAACUGCAUAUCUUGAGAAGAGUAGAGGUAAGUGGAAUUUUUAGUGUAGCGGUGAAAUGCGUAGAUAUUAAAAAGAAUACCGGUGGCGAAGGCGACUUACUGGGCUCAUUCUGACGCUGAGGAACGAAAGCGUGGGUAGCAAACAGG
rnacentral:rRNA from 1 species